rnacentral:rRNA from 1 species
GUUUACAGCCAUACCACCCUAAAUGUGCCCAAUCUUUUCUGGUCUCGGAAGCUAAGUAAGGGUCAGGCCUGAUUAGUACUUGGAUGGGAGACAAAUCUUCAAAAGAGACUGCUCAGAGAC